GUGAGACAGUUCGGUCCCUAUCCGUCGCGGGCGUUGGAAAUUUGAGAGGAGCUGUCCUUAGUACGAGAGGACCGGGAUGGACUUACCGCUGGUGUACCAGUUGUUCUGCCAAGGGCAUUGCUGGGUAGCUAUGUAGGGAAGGGAUAAACGCUGAAAGCAUCUAAGUGUGAAGCCCACCUCAAGAUGAGAUUUCCCAUUUCUUUAAGAAAGUAAGAUUCCUGAGAGAUGAUCAGGUAGAUAGGUCAGGAGUGGAAGUACAGUGAUGUAUGGAGCGGACUGAUACUAAUCGAUCGAGGACUUAACCAAU
rnacentral:rRNA from 1 species